rnacentral:tRNA from 1 species
GUUUUAAUAGUUUAAAAAAAACAAUGGUCUUGUACACCUUAAUUAGAUUUUUAUCUUUAAAACU